GGCAAGGGUGUAUUCCUGCAUAUAUACUCUUAUCAUCAUCAUGGCUGUGUGAUUACAGGACCACUUUCAUCACAUGUGACUUUUAUCAAUGCGCCGCACCUUGGAGGAGGGAUAUGACCUGUUUUACUGGCGGGGGGGAAGUCACCCAGAGGGGAUAAAGUCUCAAUCCAUCUCGCCGAACAAGGUGGCGUUGAAGUGGAUGGCCUGCCGCGGGCAUUUCGGACCAUCGCAGUUGUCGGACUGUAGCAGGCAUGAGCGCCCGUCUGUCCCAAGUUUGUACUCCUGCACACACCUGAGGAGGCGAUGGAGACGGAGCGAUAUAGUAGUGCUUCAGGUGCAGGAAACUGGAGUGCCCAGAGAAAACCCAUGCAGGUACGGGGAGAACAUGCAGACUCCCCACAGCCGAGGCCAGGAUUGAACCCGGGUCCUCAGAACUGUGAGGCCAAAGUUUUUACAGCUGAUCCACCGUGCCGCCCCACCGAAUUAGGCCACCGUUGUCUUUGGAGCAGUCACGUACGGGCCCGAAAGAUGCCAGCAAGUCUUCUACAGUCUCAAAAUAUGUGGACAUCAUGGCUUCGUCCCUGGAUUUAAAAAUAAAUGAACAAAAAGGCAAAAAAAAAAAAUAAAAAUGAAGAUGCCUUCUGUUUUCUAAGUAUAAAUGACAAAUGGAAAGGAAUGCUUAAGCAGCUAAACAUAAUCCCUUGCUGGCUAUAAAGUAGUUUCUUGUAACCUUGAAAAUUCUGGUGCAAUUAAGAUGUGAGUCGUGCAGCCUUGUUUAAUGAAAAUGAAUGAUUUUUUUUUUUGGAGACACAAGAACAUCACUACAACCACCAGGAAAGUGAUAUACAGACUUCUGAUUGGAUGCAGAGUAAAUAUAUUAAAAUGGCAGCAUGUCUUUUUCCCUGAAGAGAUUUGACAGUUCAUGACAAGUAGCAGCAUAGAUCAUUACACUGAAUUAACAUUCCUCAAAUUUGAACAAAGUCUUCAAAGUUAAUGGAUAAGUAUACAAUAUAUAUAAGUGGGUCGAUCCAUUUUAUGGGUAAUGUGAACUAACUGCAGUUAGAUGCUUCAUGUUAUCUCCAAAUGUUGAUUUUCAUUUAAAUUAAAUUGCCUAAUUAACCAACGCAAUGAGAGAUUUUACGUCAAAAUCCCAAAACACAUGCUAACACUAGUUUGUUGCUAUGCCUGGAGUAUUAUACGUCACAGUCUCCACUUUGCAUAUUUUCUUGUUGCCUCCAGUGUUCUUCUAAAGAAAAAUAAGUUUCCUGAUGCUGGAAAAGUAAACAAGUGACCCUCAUUCUCCUUCAUUGUUGUUGUUUGAUAGCAUUUGUCACGCUGAAGGAUGAUUCAACAUCGCAUCUUUUUUCUUUUUUCACUUUAAUGGAGUACUAUUAUAAAGUGGGACAAUCAAGGCGAGUAGAAAUAAGCCAAACUGUGAAUUUGAAAUGGUUUUGUCCCAGACAACUCGAGGCUGAAGGGACUCAGAAUUUCACAUUUUUGUUUAACUCAACAGGAUGGAUCCCUACUCCUUAGUUGUGAUAGUUUUGACCAACCACAUCUAUUCGCAUUUGGAAUCCCUCUUAAAACAAAACAAAACAAAAAAAACAACACAAAAACAAGUUUGGAAUGGAAUACUAGAUCUUCUUUUAUCAAACAGCAUUUCUAACCACUG